rnacentral:rRNA from 1 species
GGCGUGCUUAACACAUGCAAGUCGAAUGACUUGUGGGUGUUAGUGGCGAACGGGUGAGUAACACGUGAGUACCUGCCCUUGACUCUGGGAUAAGCCUGGAAACUGGGUCUAAUACCGGAUAUGACCUUCAUCGCAUGGCUUUUGUGGUUUUGGAUGGACUCGCGGCCUAUCAGCUUGUUGGUGGGGUAAUGGCCUACCAAGGCGACGACGGGUAGCCGGCCUGAGAGGGUGACCGGCCACACUGGGACUGAGACACGGCCCAGACUCCUACGGGAGGCAGCAGUGGGGAAUAUUGCACAAUGGGCGCAAGCCUGAUGCAGCGACGCCGCGUGAGGGAUGACGGCUUCGGGUUGUAAACCUCUUCAGUAGGAAGAAG